ACCAAGGAGUCUAACAUGUGCGCGAGCCGCGGGGCAGUACGAAACCCGUAAGGCGAAAUGAAGGUGAACGCCGGCGCGGUCCGGCGGAGGUUGGAUCCCGUCCCGUCGGGGCGGGCGCACUACCGGCCGAUCUUCUCCGCCCUGUCGGCGAGGUCGAGCGAGAGCGUGCAAGUCGGGACCCGAAAGAUGGUGAACUAUGCCUGAGGAGGUUGAAGCCAGAGGAAACUCUGGUGGAGGACCGUAGCGAUUCUGACGUGCAAAUCGAUCGUCAAUUUGGGUAUAGGGGCGAAAGACUAAUC
rnacentral:ncRNA from 1 species